GUAGGUGGCAAGCGUUGUCCGGAAUUAUUGGGCGUAAAGCGCGCGCAGGCGGUUCUUUAAGUCUGAUGUGAAAGCCCACGGCUCAACCGUGGAGGGUCAUUGGAAACUGGAGAACUUGAGUACAGAAGAGGAAAGCGGAAUUCCACGUGUAGCGGUGAAAUGCGUAGAGAUGUGGAGGAACACCAGUGGCGAAGGCGGCUUUCUGGUCUGUAACUGACGCUGAGGCGCGAAAGCGUGGGGAGCAAACAGGGAUUAGAUACCCUGAUAGUCCACGCCGUAAACGAUGAGUGCUAAGUGUUAGGGGGGUUUUCCGCCCCCCUUAGUGCUGCAGCUAACGCAUUAAGCACUCCGCCUGGGAGUACGGCCGCAAGGCUG
rnacentral:rRNA from 1 species